GAUGAACGCUGGCGGCGUGCCUAACACAUGCCAGUCGAACGGAGAUUCCGGACGGAAGUUUUCGGAUGGAAGCCUGUAAUUCUUAGUGGCGGACGGGUGAGUAACGCGUGGGCAACCUGCCCUAUACAGGGGGAUAGCAGCUGGAAACGGCUGGUAAGACCGCAUAAGUCGGUUAAAUCGCAUGAUUUGAUCGGGAAAUGAGCAAUCAGGUAUAGGAUGGGCCCGCGUCCGAUUAGCCAGUUGGCAGGGUAAAAGCCUACCAAAGCGACGAUCGGUAGCCGGACUGAGAGGUCGGACGGCCACAUUGGGACUGAGACACGGCCCAAACUCCUACGGGAGGCAGCAGUGGGGGAUAUUGCACAAUGGAGGAAACUCUGAUGCAGCGACGCCGCGUGAGUGAAGAAGUAUUUCGGUAUGUAAAGCUCCAUCAGCAGGGAAGAUGAUGACGGUACCUGACUAAGAAGCCCCGGCUAACUACGUG
rnacentral:rRNA from 1 species